UCCCCUAGUAACUGCGAGUGAAGCGGGAAAAGCUCAAAUUUAAAAUCUGGCGGUCUUUGGCCGUCCGAGUUGUAGUCUGGAGAAGUGCUUUCCGCGCUGGACCGUGUAUAAGUCUCUUGGAACAGAGCGUCAUAGAGGGUGAGAAUCCCGUCUUUGACACGGACUACCAGUGCUUUGUGAUGCGCUCUCAAAGAGUCGAGUUGUUUGGGAAUGCAGCUCAAAAUGGGUGGUGAAUUCCAUCUAAAGCUAAAUAUUGGCGAGAGACCGAUAGCGAACAAGUACCGUGAGGGAAAGAUGAAAAGCACUUUGGAAAGAGAGUUAAACAGUACGUGAAAUUGCUGAAAGGGAAACGCUUGAAGUCAGUCGCGUUGUCCGGAACUCAGCCUUGCCUCGGCUUGGUGCACUUUCCGGAUGACGGGCCAGCAUCGAUUUUGACCGCUGGAAAAGGGCUGGAGGAAUGUGGCACCUUCGGGUGUGUUAUAGCCUCCAGUCGCAUACGGCGGUUGGGAUCGAGGAACGCAGCGCGCCUUAUGGCUGGGGUUCGCCCACAUUCGCGCUUAGGAUGCUGGCAUAAUGGCUUUAAACGACCCGUCUUGAAACACGGACCAAGGAGUCUAACAUACCUGCGAGUGUUUGGGUGGAAAACCCGAGCGCGUAAUGAAAGUGAAAGUUGAGACCUCUGUCGUGGAGGGCAUCGACGCCCGGACCUGACGUUCUCUGACGGAUCCGCGGUAGAGCAUGUAUGUUGGGACCCGAAAGAUGGUGAACUAUGCCUGAAUAGGGUGAAGCCAGAGGAAACUCUGGUGGAGGCUCGUAGCGAUUCUGACGUGCAAAUCGAUCGUCAAAUUUGGGUAUAGGGGCGAAAGAC
rnacentral:rRNA from 1 species